ACCCUUUUAGUAUAAAUAGUACAAUUGACUUCCAAUCAAUUAGCUUCGGUACAAUCCGAAAAAGAGUA
rnacentral:tRNA from 2 species